AAAAAGUUAGUAUAUAUAAUUAUUAUUGGUUGUCGGCCUAUAGAAGAGAAUUUUUUCUCACUUUUUG
rnacentral:tRNA from 1 species